AUUGAACGCUGGCGGCAUGCCUUACACAUGCAAGUCGAACGGCAGCACGGGUGCUUGCACCUGGUGGCGAGUGGCGAACGGGUGAGUAAUACAUCGGAACAUGUCCUGUAGUGGGGGAUAGCCCGGCGAAAGCCGGAUUAAUACCGCAUACGAUCUACGGAUGAAAGCGGGGGCCCUUCGGGCCUCGCGCUAUAGGGUUGGCCGAUAGCUGAUUAGCUAGUUGGUGGGGUAAAGGCCUACCAAGGCGACGAUCAGUAGCUGGUCUGAGAGGACGACCAGCCACACUGGGACUGAGACACGGCCCAGACUCCUACGGGAGGCAGCAGUGGGGAAUUUUGGACAAUGGGCGAAAGCCUGAUCCAGCAAUGCCGCGUGUGUGAAGAAGGCCUUCGGGUUGUAAAGCACUUCUGUCCGGAAAGAAAUCCUUGGCUCCAAUACAGUCGGGGGAUGACGGUACCGGAAGAAUAAGCACCGGCUAACUACGUG
rnacentral:rRNA from 1 species